GAAGGUGGGAGUAGGACUUGGGAGACCAAUAAGCUGGGGAAGAAUAAAAGAGAAAAGUAGCGGUAGAUGUAUAUCAUAUCUUAUACAUAACAUAUAAUUACUAUGAAACACAUAUGUUUACAGCAUUUGAAUUGGAUGGUUACCAUAUUGGAUCAACCCUCUCCCAUAUUAAUACACAGUUAAUAAGAUAUUGAUCUGUAUUGGGUUAUGAGAUAUGAGUAAUAGGACACAAUUUAAAGCACAUAGAGGUCAUAAUGCAGAUAAAUAAAGAAUGUUUCAUAUACCAAACUUGAGAUUGUAAGAUUUUGAGGGGUGUUGUACCUUGAACAAGAAAAGGAAACUUCUCUAGUUAAUGCAUAAUUAACAUUCAAUGAACCAGAAGUGGGAUACGAAGAAAACAUACCUAUACUCGAAUUCAUAGAUUAAUCAAUAUAGAGAUGAGACUUUAAUGCUUCCAUCAGCCAUGGUAACAUGGCGGGCUCUUUCCAUCACAAACUAUGUCACCAUUAGAGAAUGCAGAUCCAUUAUACAGCUGCAUACCUGGAGUCUGUCCUUGUUUACAAUACAAUAUUUCAAAAUGUGAUCUAUACAGCUGCAUACCUGUGUGCCAUCACCCAACUGCCCUGCACAGGAUCUAAGCCUCCCUUGUAUGUAAAGUAGCAGCAUAGGUGUCAGCCAAGUGGCCCGCAUGAGCCCCACCCCUGGAUAUGCGGCCCUCCACCUCUUUUACAGCUUCCUUUAUUCUUUUCUAUAUUUUUACCAAGUUAUUUCUAAAUUUUCUAAUCUUUUAUCUAUUAUGACGAAUUUAUUGGCUCUUAAUUUUCUUUUAAAUAUGAACUGCAUAGCUGCCCACGUAAGUGGUUGUCCGCCAGUUAGGCUCGAUGUGAGACCUUGAUUUUUGGCAUACAGCCAACCACUUUUUCAAACUUUGAACAAAUGACAAAUGACAUGCACGGUAACAAGCAGGGAACAGGGAACCAUAGUCACCCAUUGGCUCAACAUUCCACAUGAUUAUGUGCAGAUGGAGAGAGAAACCACCAUGUCAAACAUAUAUACAUAAUACACAUGCAAUAGUUUCAUGAUACCUUCACAAUUUUUACAAGAACAACUUGUUAGAAAUUCUUUGAAAAGGCGUUGACCAAUUAUAAUAUGCAUCAUCUGGCAUUGCGAUUUGCAGCAAAGUAAGACACAAAUCUUAGGUGAUGAUGAACAAAAAUAUCCAAAUCAUUAACCAUAUAUUGAAGAGAAGACAUAUACAAAUAGGUCUCUCAAUUGAAACAAUGAGGAACAUGUUGGCAAUUUUUUAGAGCAGCAAACUCCCCCACAUCACAAAGUGGAAACUCUCACAUAGGAACCAAUGGUGCCCAAUUUUGGCCCUUACUAUUCUCCUAAUCAGGAGAAUUCUCCAAAGAUUUGAUCCAAAAGCAAAACUAUCAUGUCCAUAGUUAUCCUUCACGCUACUAGGAUUAGGCACAUGUAAUGCAUGUGGGAGAGAGGAUGGAUAGCAGUCGUACGAUGCAGGUACGAGGGACGGGAAACUAUAAUGGUUCUUGUUAGGGAUGCACAUCUUUCUCUAUUUAAUAUACAAAAUAAAUGCCUUAAAUUUUAAAGAGAAAUAAAAUCUGACAAGAACUGAAUCUGAUGAGUGGUGAGUACAUAGAAAAGAUAAAGAUUUAGUUAGCUCCUCUUCUUUCAAAAAAUCUAAUUCCAUAAAUUCUCCAUUUAACUUGAUCAGUUAGACACUUUGGGAUAUUCACGUAUCUGUAUCUAAUAGGCCACAGAGCAAACGGGGAUUGGGAAUAUGAACGCAUGCAAGGAAAAAAAACAAAAAUAUGGAAUGGGAUCGGGUUUCUAUUCUCCCAUCCUCGUUGGGGUCUUCUUUUUCUUUUAAAAGUUUUAACAACUUCAGAUAACCUCACUUUCUUUUUUUUUCUCCUCCUAUAUGAGUUCAUUGCACAUCAGAUGGACAUUCAAGUGUUUGCAUUAUAUACUAGUACAGACAUCUAAUCAAUCCUCACCUAUAUUAGCAAAAUAAUGCAGCCUUCCAGUUAAAUCUGUAUUAAAGAUGGUUUGGAGGCCCUAAAAAAGGAAUUUUGGGCGUUUAAAGAGAAUUUGUGGGCACUGUACAUAAACUCCACUGAGAAGUCCUCAUUAGGAGCUGGCAGAUCUGGAUUUGGUUUUCUAAGCAUCUAGAUUUCAUUUUCUAAGCAUACAGUAGCACAAUAAAAACAAAGGGAAGGACCUCACUGCUGUUUUGAGCCAAGAGUUUAAGAUCUAAUUAAUUAGUUAACGUCAAACAGCACUUAUGAAGUAGACUUCCAGCAUAUUAAAGCAUGUAAACAGUGAAAGGAACAAAAAGUGGGAAGAAUAGUAAGGAAGAGGAAAUUAAACGCAAGUACAAAGAGGACUUAAACUCCAAAAGGAAAAAGAGAUUGAGAUAGAGGAGAAGAAAGUAGAAGAAUUCUGACUGGAAUCCACUACUAGAGUCAAAAAACACUAACUCAAAUUUCAUCAGUUCUCCAUAGCACUUAUUUCCCUAAUACAUGCUUUUACAUAGAUACUAGAUGACUCUUCAUAUCCCUGCACACUAAUGCAUCAUGACUUCCUAAAGACAGGGUCACAGAGAAUAAGUACUUCUGUUAACUCUAAAAAGAUUCGUGCAUAAAGCAUAACUAUCGAAGCCUAAAAAUUUGAAAACUACAUUCAUGAGCCAAAACAAGUAUUUAAAGCUUAACCACAAAUUAUUGACUACCUAAUAAACCUCUUGACUUAGACUAAGAUAUGAAGUAGGUAUAUAGGCUCCCCAAAAUGGGUUGAUCAGAAAAAGAUUAAUUCUUUGAUCUUGGAUUAUUGAAGAGGAGAAGUGGAGAAUAUAUAAUACCUAAGAUGCAAAGGGAUAAGAUAGAGAGUCAUUUUGUUUUUUCUAAAUUCCAAGAACUAAUUACAUAAAUUGAAAUCCCUUAUUUAAACAAAAGGAAGACUUUGACUAGACAUUAGUCCCUAAGUACCCCUUAUAAGUGGCAGGCCCCACCAUGAGAAAGAAAAGGAUAAAGGAUGCAUUCUCAUUGGGGCAUACAGAUGCCCAAUACAAAAGAAAAGGCAGCAAGCAUCCCUUCUCUUCUACUCCUCUCUUUUGUUCAUAGGCAGCCCACCUAAGGAGACAUACAACCCAAAUCUAAGGGCUCAGAUGGCUUACUUUAUUAGGCUAUGCCACAUAAAUUGCUUACCUAACCAUCCAAACGGAUCUGACAUGUUUUAAGCUCAGAUCAUGACUCGUAAUGACUUACUAAGCCUGAAUAUAUAUAUAUAUAUAAGAAUUAAGCAAACUACAAACAAAAUACGUAAGAUGUUGACAAUCCCAACCCUUCAAUGCAUCACAAGAUAAUCUCCAACUCCACUCCAAUAGUAUUUUCUCCCCCAAAAUCAUUAUACUGCAAACAAUCAACACUGCAGAACACUGUAGGCAUCUUUUAUUCAAGUCUUAAUGCAGGUUAGAUAGCAUUUAUUCUAAUAUUUUCAUUGCUAAGGGGCUCACUGAUGCAAUCACUAUUGAAGAAAGGGUUUUAUGGUCUAAGGGAGGACAUAACAGAUAGAAAAACCAGCCUAGAAGGCUUCCUGAUUGUUCAUCCGAGCAAAGGAGGGCUGAGAUUGCAUGAUCAUCGAUUUAUGAAGGUGUACUUGGGCAGUAUAUAUCGAAUUAGUGCUUUAGAGGAGCAAACAAAAGCCUGAUUGAAUGGUUCGGAUUUUAAUUGGUGUCUAAUUGAGUUUAGGGGUAAUUCAGGAAGAUCUUCUAAAAUGAGGAAAAAGGGUCAUUGUUCACACUACAGUACCAUGAACAUUGAUACCCAACUAAAGCCAUUGUACCAAAAUCCUAGGAGUCUAAGACUCCAAAAUAGGAAGGAAUAGUAGUCGUUUGGAUUUAUAAGGGGACUGCCCUAGUUGUCCAAAACAUUGUACUAAGAUAUCAUUGAGUAUUAAGAGAAGGCCCAGUACGGCUUUCCUCCUUUAUUUUUUUCUUCUCUUAUUGUCCCUUAUUUCUUAACUUUCUACUAGGUUCUCCUUUCUUACAUAUUCGGCUACUCUUCUUCUUCUUUGCUGGAUAAAUGCAUCAUAAAUUAAUUUCUGCACAUUAUUAGAAUCUGCUCUAGUAGAUUACUGCUGUUAUUUUUUUCUUGACUGCUAGAUUACCAAAUAAUUGAAUCCAAUUUCUUCUGUAACCAAAGCUUGAUCCAAACCGGGCACUUACUUUUCACUUCUUCUAAUCUAAUUGAACCUGUCUUACAAUUAAGUUCACCUAGGUUGACAUUCUCUUGCAAAUAUUUUGAAACCUCCCAGAAAAUCUAGGGAUAAUGUACGAACUUCCCCUUC
rnacentral:lncRNA from 1 species